rnacentral:rRNA from 1 species
UUUUGCAUAAUAGUGCCCCUUUAAAACUUAGUCUAAUGGUCGCUCCCUGAAACUGAGCAGGGCUGCGCCUGGUCAGUACCUGGAUGGGAAACCACAUGGGAAAGCUAGGUUGCUGCCGGAA